rnacentral:misc_RNA from 1 species
GCUAAUAUGAUGAGAUUUUUAUUUUUAAUUGCCCCCUAGUUAUUUAGGCUAAAUGAAAAUAUUGGGCACUCUUGGCCAUAGUUGCCAUAGUUAUUAAAGGCUCAAGGCACACUAAGNNNNNNAUGCCAAGGGGUCCUGGAGCUUAGGCACAAGGUGCAAGGCAAAGACGCGCCUAAGCAAGGUGAGGCGCAAAAAAAUAAUAAAAAUAAAUAAAAUUUAAAGUAAAAUAAAU